rnacentral:rRNA from 1 species
UGGGGAAUAUUGGGCAAUGGGCGAAAGCCUGACCCAGCAACGCCGCGUGAAGGAAGAAGGUUUUCGGAUUGUAAACUUCUUUUAUCAGGGACGAAGAAAGUGACGGUACCUGAUGAAUAAGCCACGGCUAACUACGUGCCAGCAGCCGCGGUAAUACGUAGGUGGCAAGCGUUAUCCGGAUUUAUUGGGUUUAAAGGGUGCGCAGGCGGCGCGCCAAGUCAGCGGUCAAAGUUCCGGGCUCAACCCGGUGUCGCCGUUGAAACUGGCGUGCUCGAGUGCGUGCGAGGAAGGCGGAAUGCGUUGUGUAGCGGUGAAAUGCAUAGAUAUGACGCAGAACUCCGAUUGCGAAGGCAGCUUUCCAGCGCGCUACUGACGCUGAGGCACGAAAGCGUGGGGAUCGAACAGGAUUAGAUACCCUGGUGU